rnacentral:rRNA from 1 species
CAGUCGAACGAUGAUGCAGCUUGCUGGUGGAUUAGUGGCGAACGGGUGAGUACACGUGAGUAACCUGCCCUUAACUCUGGGAUAAGCCUGGGAAACUGGGUCUAAUACCGGAUAUGACUCCUCAUCGCAUGGUGGGGGGUGUAAAGCUUUUUGUGGUUUUGGAUGGACUCGCGGCCUAUCAGCUUGUUGGUGAGGUAAUGGCUCACCAAGGCGACGACGGGUAGCCGGCCUGAGAGGGUGACCGGCCACACUGGGACUGAGACACGGCCCAGACUCCUACGGGAGGCAGCAGUGGGGAAUAUUGCACAAUGGGCGAAAGCCUGAUGCAGCGACGCCGCGUGAGGGAUGACGGCCUUCGGGUUGUAAACCUCUUUCAGUAGGGAAGAAGCGAAAGUGACGGUACCUGCAGAAGAAGCGCCGGCUAACUACGUGCCAGCAGCCGCGGUAAUACGUAGGGCGCAAGCGUUAUCCGGAAUUAUUGGGCGUAAAGAGCUCGUAGGCGGUUUGUCGCGUCUGCCGUGAAAGUCCGGGGCUCAACUCCGGAUCUGCGGUGGGUACGGGCAGACUAGAGUGAUGUAGGGGAGACUGGAAUUCCUGGUGUAGCGGUGAAAUGCGCAGAUAUCAGGAGGAACACCGAUGGCGAAGGCAGGUCUCUGGGCAUUAACUGACGCUGAGGAGCGAAAGCAUGGGGAGCGAACAGGAUUAGAUACCCUGGUAGUCCAUGCCGUAAACGUUGGGCACUAGGUGUGGGGGACAUUCCACGUUUUCCGCGCCGUAGCUAACGCAUUAAGUGCCCCGCCUGGGGAGUACGGCCGCAAGGCUAAAACUCAAAGGAAUUGACGGGGGCCCGCACAAGCGGCGGAGCAUGCGGAUUAAUUCGAUGCAACGCGAAGAACCUUACCAAGGCUUGACAUGAACCGGUAAUACCUGGAAACAGGUGCCCCGCUUGCGGUCGGUUUACAGGUGGUGCAUGGUUGUCGUCAGCUCGUGUCGUGAGAUGUUGGGUUAAGUCCCGCAACGAGCGCAACCCUCGUUCUAUGUUGCCAGCACGUUAUGGUGGGGACUCAUAGGAGACUGCCGGGGUCAACUCGGAGGAAGGUGGGGACGACGUCAAAUCAUCAUGCCCCUUAUGUCUUGGGCUUCACGCAUGCUACAAUGGCCGGUACAAAGGGUUGCGAUACUGUGAGGUGGAGCUAAUCCCAAAAAGCCGGUCUCAGUUCGGAUUGGGGUCUGCAACUCGACCCCAUGAAGUCGGAGUCGCUAGUAAUCGCAGAUCAGCAACGCUGCGGUGAAUACGUUCCCGGGCCUUGUACACACCGCCCGUCAAGUCACGAAAGUUGGUAACACCCGAAGCCGG